rnacentral:rRNA from 1 species
AGAGUUUGAUCCUGGCUCAGAAUCAACGCUGGCGGCGCGCCUAACACAUGCAAGUCGAACGAGAAAGUGGAGCAAUCCAUGAGUAAAGUGGCGUACGGGUGAGUAACACGUGGAUCAUCUGCCUUUUAGUGGGGAAUACCGCUGGGAAACCGGCGACAAUACCGCAUAAGCUCGAGAGAGGAAAGCCGUAAGGCGCUGAAAGAGGAGUCCGCGGUCGAUUAGCUAGUUGGUAGGGUAAUGGCCUACCAAGGCUGUGAUCGAUAGCCGGCCUGAGAGGGCACACGGCCACACUGGCACUGAAACACGGGCCAGACUCCUACGGGAGGCAGCAGUGGGGAAUCUUGCACAAUGGGGGAAACCCUGAUGCAGCGACGCCGCGUGAGCGAUGAAGCCCCUCGGGGUGUAAAGCUCUUUCGGCAGGGACGAUAAUGACGGUA